rnacentral:misc_RNA from 1 species
GAAAUGCGAUAAGUAAUGUGAAUUGCAGAAUUCAGUGAAUCAUCGAAUCUUUGAACGCACAUUGCGCCCGCCAGAAUUCUGGCGGGCAUGCCUGUUCGAGCGUCAUUUCAACCCUCGAGCUCCCCUUUCGGGGGGAGCCUGGCGUUGGGGACCCGGCGCUAACAACGCCGGCCCCGAAAUGGAGUGGCGGCCCGUCCGCGGCGACCUCUGCGUAGUAACAACCACUCGCACCGGGACCCGGGCGCGGCCACGCCGUAAAACACCCCACCUUCCGAAUGUUGACCUCGAAUCAGGUAGGAAUACCCGCUGAACUUAAGC